rnacentral:rRNA from 1 species
AAUCACCGAAGUUAAGCAUCAUUGGGCGCGGUCAGUACUUGGGUGGGUGACCACCUGGGAACACCCCGUGCCGUU